GACGAACGCUGGCGGCGUGCUUAACACAUGCAAGUCGAACGGAAAGGCCCUGCUUGCAGGGUGCUCGAGUGGCGAACGGGUGAGUAACACGUGGGUGAUCUGCCCCUUACUUUGGGAUAAGCCUGGGAAACUGGGUCUAAUACUGGAUAGGACCAUGCUGUAGGUGGUGUGGUGGAAAGAUUAGUUUCGGUAAGGGAUGAGCUCGCGGCCUAUCAGCUUGUUGGUGGGGUAAUGGCCUAACAAGGCGUCGACGGGUAGCCGGCCUGAGAGGGUGGACGGCCACAUUGGGACUGAGAUACGGCGCAGAAGCCUGCGGGCGGCAGCAGUGGGGAAUAUUGCACAAUGGGCGCAAGCCUGAUGCAGCGACGCCGCGUGGGGGAUGACGGCCUUCGGGUUGUAAACUCCUUUCAUCCAUGACGAAGCCCUUGUGGUGACGGUAGUGGUAGAAGAAGCACCGGCUAACUACGUG
rnacentral:rRNA from 1 species